rnacentral:misc_RNA from 1 species
AACUUGGACAGCAAUCUGGCAAUUGUAAGUCUAUACAAAUACGAGAUAAUUUUUGUAAUAGUUUGUUAUUACAUUCAUUUGCACAUAAUAUUGUGAGUAAAAAUAGCAAAUGGCAAUCUUGUGUAUGUUUAUUUUAUGUGUCGAUUACUAGAUAAGGUUUUUUUUUGGUUUUUCUUUUUAAUUUUUUUUAUAGCUAUGUUAAACAGCUGAAUUAGGAGAUGCAACAAUAUAGGAGAUGGAUAAACAUUUUCUUGGGAGAACUAUAGCAGGCUAUAUUAAAGGGUGUGUGGUUAUGAAAAUUAUGAUAUCUCUGCAUUUCUUUGUUAUUUAUUCUCCUGCUAGAACCUGAAAUAGCUUUGUUGAAUCAUCAGUUUUCAUUCUUAGCUCAAAGCUAUCCUUAUAACUUCAUAUAUUCUGUCUUAAAUAGGUUGUGGCUACAAUUGCUAGAUGCCAUAUCUUCUGAUAUGGUUCUAUGUAUUUGGUCAUGCUUAUUUAUUAACAUAUGGCUACAUCUCAAAGAGGAGAUUUGGUGUAAAACAGUCUUGUUGUCAGCUGUUUUGCAGGGUGAAAAUGAUA